rnacentral:rRNA from 1 species
CGNNGAUCNAGNNCGGUNUNANNNNGCAANGGCGAGCGGAUAAGAUAAGGAGCUUGCUCCUUUGACGUUAGCGGCGGACGGGUGAGUAACACGUGGAUAACCUACCUAUAAGACUGGGAUAACUUCGGGAAACCGGAGCUAAUACCGGAUAACAUAUUGAACCGCAUGGUUCAAUAGUGAAAGGCGGCUUUGCUGUCACUUAUAGAUGGAUCCGCGCCGUAUUAGCUAGUUGGUAAGGUAACGGCUUACCAAGGCAACGAUACGUAGCCGACCUGAGAGGGUGAUCGGCCACACUGGAACUGAGACACGGUCCAGACUCCUACGGGAGGCAGCAGUAGGGAAUCUUCCGCAAUGGGCGAAAGCCUGACGGAGCAACGCCGCGUGAGUGAUGAAGGUCUUCGGAUCGUAAAACUCUGUUAUCAGGGAAGAACAAAUGUGUAAGUAACUGUGCACAUCUUGACGGUACCUGAUCAGAAAGCCACGGCUAACUACGUGCCAACCAGCCGCGGUAAUACGUAGGUGGCAAGCGUUAUCCGGAAUUAUUGGGCGUAAAGCGCGCGUAGGCGGUUUUUUGAGUCUGAUGUGAAA